rnacentral:rRNA from 1 species
GACGAACGCUGGCGGCAUGCCUAAUACAUGCAAGUCGAGCGAACAGAUGAAGUGCUUGCACUUCUGACGUUAGCGGCGAACGGGUGAGUAACACGUAAGGAAUCUACCUAUAAGCGGGGGAUAACAUUCGGAAACGGGUGCUAAUACCGCAUAAUAUCUUCUUCCGCAUGGAAGAAGAUUGAAAGACGGCUCUGCUGUCACUUAUAGAUGACCUUGCGGUGCAUUAGUUGGUUGGUGGGGUAACGGCCUACCAAGACGAUGAUGCAUAGCCGACCUGAGAGGGUGAGCGGCCACAUUGGGACUGAGACACGGCCCAAACUCCUACGGGAGGCAGCAGUAGGGAAUCUUCCGCAAUGGGCGAAAGCCUGACGGAGCAAUGCCGCGUGAGUGAAGAAGGCCUUCGGGUCGUAAAACUCUGUUAUAAGAGAAGAACAAAUUGUAGAGUAACUGCUACAGUCUUGACGGUAUCUUAUCAGAAAGCCACGGCUAACUACGUGCCAGCCGCCGCAGUAA